rnacentral:rRNA from 1 species
GAAUAUUGGACAAUGGAGGCAACUCUGAUCCAGCCAUCCCGCGUGUAGGAAGAAGGCCCUAUGGGUCGUAAACUACUUUUGUCAGGGAAUAAACCUCUCGAUUUACUCGGGAGCUGAAGGUACCUGAAGAAUAAGCACCGGCUAACUCCGUGCCAGCAGCCGCGGUAAUACGGAGGGUGCAAGCGUUAUCCGGAAUCACUGGGUUUAAAGGGUGCGUAGGUGGUAUCGUAAGUCAGAAGUGAAAGUUUGCGGCUUAACCGUAAAAUUGCUUUUGAUACUGCAAUACUUGAAUCAGGUUGAGGUUGGCGGAAUGUGGCAUGUAGCGGUGAAAUGCUUAGAUAUGCCAUAGAACACCAAUUGCGAAGGCAGCUGACUGGACUUGUAUUGACGCUGAGGCACGAAAGCGUGGGGAGCGAACAGG